UCGAGAAUUUUCCACAAUGGACGAAAGUCUGAUGGAGCGACGCCGCGUGAUCGAUGAAGUGCUUCGGUAUGUAAAGAUCUUUUAUGAGGGAAGAAGUUUAUUGACGGUACCUCAUGAAUAAGGGCCUGCAAAACUCGUGCCAGCAGCAGCGGUAAUACGAGUGGCCCAAGCGUUAUCCGGAAUUAUUGGGCGUAAAGGAUAUGUAGGUGGUUAUACUAGUCUAAUGUCAAACCUCUGGGCUUAACCUGGAGACAGCAUUGGAAACGGUAUUACUAGAGUAUGUUAGGGGUAAGUGGAACUCAUAGUGUAGGGGUGAAAUCCGUUGAUAUUAUGGGGAACACCAAAAGCGAAGGCAGCUUACUGGAACAUUACUGACACUGAAAUAUGAAAGCGUGGGUAGCGAAUGGGAUUAGAUACCCCCGUAGUCC
rnacentral:rRNA from 1 species